UACACAUGCAAGUCGAACGGUAGAGUAGCAAUACUCGAGAGUGGCGAACGGGUGAGUAAUAUAUCGGAACGUGCCCAGUCGUGGGGGAUAACGUAGAGAAAUUUACGCUAAUACCGCAUACGAUCUAAGGAUGAAAGCGGGGGAUUCGCAAGAACCUCGCGCGAUUGGAGCGGCUGAUAUCAGAUUAGGUUGUUGGUGAGGUAAAAGCUCACCAAGCCGACGAUCUGUAGCUGGUUUGAGAGAACGACCAGCCACACUGGGACUGAGACACGGCCCAGACCCCUACGGGAGGCAGCAGUGGGGAAUUUUGGACAAUGGGCGAAAGCCUGAUCCAGCAAUGCCGCGUGCAGGAAGAAGGCCUUCGGGUUGUAAACUGCUUUUGUACGGAACGAAAAAGCCUUUUCUAAUAAAGAGGGCUCAUGACGGUACCGUAAGAAUAAGCACCGGCUAACUACGUGCCAGCAGCCGCGGUAAUACGUAGGGUGCGAGCGUUAAUCGGAAUUACUGGGCGUAAAGCGUGCGCAGGCAGUUCUAUAAGACAGAUGUGAAAUCCCCGGGCUCAACCUGGGAAUGGCAUUUGUGACUGUAGAGCUAGAGUACGGUAGAGGGGAUGGAAUUCCGCGUGUCGCAGUGAAAUGCGUAGAUAUGCGAGGACACCGAUGGCGAAGGCAUCCCCUGGACCUGUACUGACG
rnacentral:rRNA from 1 species